rnacentral:rRNA from 1 species
GUGUCAGCAGCCGCGGUAAUACGAAGGACCCAAGCGUUAUCCGGAUUUAUUGGGUUUAAAGGGUGCGUAGGCGGAUUAUUAAGUCAGUGGUGAAAGCCUGCAGCUUAACUGCAGAACUGCCAUUGAUACUGAUGAUCUUGAGUAUGAUUGAGGUGGGCGGAAUGUGUCAUGUAGCGGUGAAAUGCUUAGAUAUGACACAGAACACCGAUUGCGAAGGCAGCUCACUAAGCCAUAACUGACGCUGAUGCACGAAAGCGUGGGGAGCAAACAGGAUUAGAUACCCUGGUAGUCCACGCCCUAAACGAUGAUCACUCGAUGUGUGCGAUACACUGUACGCGUCUGAGCGAAAGCAUUAAGUGAUCCACCUGGGGAGUACGACCGCAAGGUUGAA